rnacentral:misc_RNA from 1 species
CUUUGUUCCUCCUACGUGGCUAGUUAAGUUGAAUUAAAGCAGCUCAAAGGUGUCAAGAGCAAAACUUGCUUGUUGUCUAAUUGACUCCAUUACUAACAUUCUUUCAGCUUUUAAGCCUCUUUUGUUAUUGCAGGUGCUUCAACCUUCACAAUUGCAUUUAUUUUGUUCAUUAGAAAUGUUGAAUUAUGUUUGCAUCUAUGGUUUUGCCAUCUCUCUCCAGGAUGUCUGUUUCAUGUGG